UACGUAGGGUGCGAGCGUUGUCCGGAAUUACUGGGCGUAAAGCGUGCGCAGGCGGUUUGUUAAGUCUGUUGUGAAAUCCCCGAGCUCAACUUGGGAAUUGCAAUGGAUACUGGCAAGCUGGAGUAUGGUAGAGGAAGGUGGAAUUCCCGGUGUAGCAGUGAAAUGCGUAGAGAUCGGGAGGAACACCAGUGGCGAAGGCGGCCUUCUGGACCAAUACUGACGCUCAUGCACGAAAGCGUGGGGAGCAAACAGG
rnacentral:rRNA from 1 species